UAGUGUUAUAGCUCUUUCACAUUUGUCUAGCAGGUUUUCCCAUUUGCACUGGAAGAACGCUCCC